AUGACUGAGAGCAGAACAGAACACAAUCUUCAUCAUCACACAAGACACAACAACAACAAUGAACAACAUCAUCAUCCUCAUCUGGACUCUCACACUGUUUGCUCAAGAGUGUAGAGGACAGAUCACUGUAACUCAGAGUCCAUCAAUAACAAGACUUACGCAACCAGGACAAGAAGUCAGAAUAAACUGUAAAACCAGCAGUAGAGUGUUCAACAGUGCCUGCAAGUCUUGUUUCUCCUGGUACCUACAGAAACCUGGAGAAACUCCUAAACUUUUAGUGUACUACAUUAAAACCCUCCAGUCAGGAACUCCAUCUAGAUUCAGUGGCAGUGGAGCUGAUCAUGGAACUGAUUUCACUCUGACCAUCAGUGGAGUCCAGACUGAAGAUACAGGACAUUAUUACUGUAUGGCUAUAAACUAUAUAAACAAUAACUGGGUGUUCACUUUUUUUGCGGGUCUAAAACUUUUGUUUGCGACUGGUCCCACAGUGAAGCCCUCAGUGUCUCUGCUGCCGCCCUCUUCUCUGCAGAUCUCUGGAGACUCAGCCGCACUGCUCUGCCUGCUCAGCUCUUACUCUCCACAGGGGGCGCUGGUGAGCUGGACACUGGACGGCUCAGAGGUCACCGAGGGGGUUGUGACCAGCGCAGAGAGCGAGCAGGACGGCCGCUACAGCCGCAGUAGCGUCCUGACCCUCAGCAAAGCACGCUGGGAAGAGGGAGAGCUGUACGUCUGCAGAGUAACACAUGAUGGAGCUCCUCAUGAGGCCUCGUUCCACAAGAGUCUCUGUUAGUCGCUCGCAGUGCUGAUGUUUCUCCAGUGAGCGCUGCUCUCUCCUGAAGAUGAGCGUAUCUGAGUGUCCUGUGUCAGGCAGGAUUCACAUGAGUCUAGUGCUGCAGCUGUAGUCAUUUACAACUCAAUACUGAAAGAGAGCUCUAGUGUCAAAGCACUGGCUGAUCUUUCAAUCUGCUGUGUUUGCUGCAACAUUCAAUAAAGCUUCUCAACAAGCUCCA